AUACGGAGGAUCCGAGCGUUAUCCGGAUUUAUUGGGUUUAGAGGGAGCGUAGGUGGACUGGUAAGUCAGUUGUGAAAGUUUGCGGCUCAACCGUAAAAUUGCAGUUGAUACUGUCAGUCUUGAGUACAGUAGAGGUGGGCGGAAUUCGUGGUGUAGCGGUGAAAUGCUUAGAUAUCACGAAGAACUCCGAUUGCGAAGGCAGCUCACUGGACUGCAACUGACACUGAUGCUCGAAAGUGUGGGUAUCAAACAGGAUUAGAUACCCUGGUAGUCCACACAGUAAACGAUGAAUACUCGCUGUUUGCGAUAUACAGUAAGCGGCCAAGCGAAAGCAUUAAGUAUUCCACCUGGGGAGUACGCCGGCAACGGUGAAACUCAAAGGAAUUGACGGGGGCCCGCACAAGCGGAGGAACAUGUGGUUUAAUUCGAUGAUACGCGAGGAACCUUACCCGGGCUUAAAUUGCAGUGGAAUGAUGUGGAAACAUGUCAGUGAGCAAUCACCGCUGUGAAGGUGCUGCAUGGUUGUCGUCAGCUCGUGCCGUGAGGUGUCGGCUUAAGUGCCAUAACGAGCGCAACCCUUAUCUUCAGUUACUAACAGGUCAUGCUGAGGACUCUGGAGAGACUGCCGUCGUAAGAUGUGAGGAAGGUGGGGAUGACGUCAAAUCAGCACGGCCCUUACGUCCGGGGCUACACACGUGUUACAAUGGGGGGUACAGAAGGCAGCUAGCGGGUGACCGUAUGCUAAUCCCAAAAUCCUCUCUCAGUUCGGAUCGAAGUCUGCAACCCGACUUCGUGAAGCUGGAUUCGCUAGUAAUCGCGCAUCAGCCACGGCGCGGUGAAUACGUUCCCGGGCCUUGUACACACCGCCCGUCAAGCCAUGGGAGCCGGGGGUACCUGAAGUACGUAACCGCAAGGAUCGUCCUAGGGUAAAACUGGUGAUUGGGGCU
rnacentral:rRNA from 1 species